CAACUUGAGAGUUUGAUCCUGGCUCAGAACGAACGCUGGCGGCAGGCUUAACACAUGCAAGUCGAACGCCCCGCAAGGGGAGUGGCAGACGGGUGAGUAACGCGUGGGAACAUACCCUUUCCUGCGGAAUAGCUCCGGGAAACUGGAAUUAAUACCGCAUACGCCCUACGGGGGAAAGAUUUAUCGGGGAAGGAUUGGCCCGCGUUGGAUUAGCUAGUUGGUGGGGUAAAGGCCUACCAAGGCGACGAUCCAUAGCUGGUCUGAGAGGAUGAUCAGCCACAUUGGGACUGAGACACGGCCCAAACUCCUACGGGAGGCAGCAGUGGGGAAUAUUGGACAAUGGGCG
rnacentral:rRNA from 1 species